rnacentral:rRNA from 1 species
ACUGCGAGUGAAGCGGGAAAAGCUCAAAUUUAAAAUCUGGCAGUCUUUGGCUGUCCGAGUUGUAAUCUAGAGAAGUAUUAUCCGCGCUGGACCGUGUACAAGUCUCCUGAAAUGGGGCAUCAUAGAGGGUGAGAAUCCCGUCUUUGACACGGACUGCCAGGGCUUUGUGAUGUGCUCUCAAAGAGUCGAGUUGUUUGGGAAUGCAGCUCAAAAUGGGUGGUAAAUUCCAUCUAAAGCUAAAUAUUGGCGAGAGACCGAUAGCGAACAAGUACCGUGAGGGAAAGAUGAAAAGAACUUUGGAAAGAGAGUUAAACAGUACGUGAAAUUGCUGAAAGGGAAACGCUUGAAGUCAGUCGCGUUGGCCAGGGAUCAACCUUGCUUUUUUUUUGCUUGGCUUACUUUCUGGUCGACGGGUCAGCAUCAAUUUUGACCGGUGGAAAAAGUUCAAGGGAAUGUGGCAUCUUCGGAUGUGUUAUAGCCUUUGUUCGCAUACAUCGGUUGGGAUUGAGGAACUCAGCACGCCGAAAGGCCGGGUUUUUAACCACGUACGUGCUUAGGAUGCUGGCAUAAUGGCUUUAAUCGACCCGUCUUGAAACACGGACCAAGGAGUCUAACAUGCCUGCGAGUGUUUGGGUGAAAAACCCGA